ensembl:lncRNA
AGGGCAGGAGCCCCAAAGGAUGAUGCAAAGGGUGAUGUCCAUAGAAUGCUCAUUCAAUGGAAGGAUGCCACACAGGGGUUGGCUGUGGAUCCACCAGUCAGGUGUUGCUCCUCUUGCCCCUGGUGCGUUGGUAUUCUGCUGGGGCAGUGCUAAUGUCUAGAUAGUACUUCCUGAAGCACAGCCUCCUUUUCAGUGCUUCCUCGUUUCAAGUAGCAAUCUAAUUCAAGCAGUCCUGGUUACACAUCAGGCCUAAGUAUGUCAUUAUAUGUGCGGUUUCCAGCAAUUGUAAGCUAUGUUCUGUAAAGCUUUGUUGUGCAAUGAAGGUGACAGAAAAGGGAUUUUAACCAUUGCUUUUACGUGCUUCCGAGGACAGUGAUGCUUCUUGCCUUCAGCCAGGCUAUUCCAUCAAGAGAAAGUCAAAGACAAUGUGCCUUUGUUUUAUUGAGUGCUUACUCCCUUCAUGAAUGUGAUUAGACCACUCCGUCUGGCACUGCAGCUUGUGCACUGCAUUGUCCCAGCUCUGCCAUUAUUCCUCCUUUCUUUGCCCAUCAAGAAACAAGAACAACUGGUCCAAAGGCACAACCAGCAUCCAUCUGCUAUUCCCAGUGCUCGUCGAACAUGAAAACAAAUCAUUUGCUUUGGUGUCCAAAGCACUGAAUGUCAGAACAUAACUCAGUCGAGUUGUAGGGGUUUUGCUUUUCAGCUGAACCAUGGGAAUGAGCAGCGUGCAGCCUCCUAACCUGAUGCAUGGGGACACAGAAGGAAACAAAAUGGAAAGGGAGAAGCCAUAGAAACUCAGGUCGGCAGAAGACUGAUGCCCUUCAACAUCAUGCACAGGAAGGCUGAGCACAGCUGGGACAGAAAGCACCUCUUGCUUCUCAGUGUUGAGGUACGCUGCAUAUUCUUCAGCCUGGCUCAAGAAGGAUUACCGCAACAAAAACAAGGUAUACGUCUGGGGAGAUAGUGGCUAGAUUUAUUCAGGCUUUUGGAAAGUUAAGGCCUCGUUCAAAUGCACACUUCUGUUUUGUUUUUUUUCUGAGACAGUCAACAGUGUAAUCGCUCCAUGCAUUUUGAAUAACAUGAGAACCUCAGACUGACUCACUGUUUCCUAUUUCACUAGCUUGGGACAGGAUGCAAAGCUUAUAAACACAUUCCGUUUGAGUCUCUAUACAACGUGAAGGUCCUUGCUCAAGUUUACAAGCCCACAUUGUUUCAAAUCCCUAGAAUGACUCUUCAAGGUUCCGCCCAUACAUAAGCAGCUUUCUUCUCUCUGUCACUGUAUUUAUGCUUAAGAUUCUAUCUGACUGGUGAGAUAGAAAUAUCUACAUGUCAGUAACUCAAAAAAAGAGAAGGAAUGUGGAUCUCAAACUGAAUCCUUAGAAGAACUCUUGUUGUUUAGGAGCACUCUGCAACUCCAGGUGAGGAGUUUACAAAGCCAAGGAGCAACCACAGCCAACAAAAACAUCCAAGAGCAGCUUUUACAUACAUUACUGAGACCUGAGUAAUUGCUCAAGACAGUGAACCAGCUAAUAAGGAAGCAGAAAUGCUAAAUCAUGGCUUGAAACAGUGAUUGAACACCUGGUGGGAAGGCAGGGCCAGCCCUGGGGAGCUCAGGUGCACGCAAUGUGCCUGAGUGACCAGGAGGGGUGGAGCCAGGAUCCACCUCUUCCCAGACCUCAUUUAAGGGUUGGCAGUGGGGGUAUGGGUAUCUUGCUGGAGAUCCCUGUGUACCUGAGGCCUUCUCAAGGUAAGCAGCUUCUUUAUUUCUAUGCCUACAGCUGUUGCGUUUGAGCAAGCCCUCACUUGCUGUAGCCUGGGACCUUUCUAUUGUG